GAUGAUGUUGAAGAGAACGAGGUACCGGACGAAGAAGCUACGCUCAAGCUUGAAAAUACGGUACGGUGGCGUGACGACUACUGCAAGAUGGGAAAUCGAAGUCGGCAGGCCAAUGCCAGCAUCAUCAGGUGGUCGGACGGAGCAUGUCUGUCCACUUGGGUUCGGAGAUUCGUCUUCCUCAAGCAGCAGGGUGUUCUGGUUGCCUCUGACCAGAACCAGUCUUGCCAACGACUUCCGGUGGGAGAUGUAAAGGUUGCUACGAAGGAAGACGAAAUGUCUACAGUUGUGUCGACACGUGGAAUGAAGAGAGUGAAGUGGCUACUGUGGCAGUCGGCUGCGUUACGAAGGCCUCAGCCUCUACCAGGCACGUGACGAGCUCUUCUAAAUUGAGGGACGACCGGCAAAGUACCUUCCGCAGUACGGCCUUCACCCUUCCAAUCAUUCGCUCCCACUAUC